UGGGUAUCUGAGCUCACAGUGACGUGGCCCUUACGAGACCUAGAGCUGACGCGUGGGUUCGUGUCUCCUCCUAGUUGCAGUCUGGCAGUCGUUUGUGGCUGUGCGCGGUCUCGCUCUUGCCUUGAAGGCAGGCGAGCCUGCAGCCCAGGGAAGGAGGAAGUCGAAGAAGCUGACCCUGAUUCGUAGCAGGUCUUUAGGUCGGUUGGUGCAGCAGAUUGCAAGGCUAAGAGAGGAAGACCGCUUCUGAUCCCUGCAGGAAGAGUAAGCAGG
rnacentral:lncRNA from 1 species